rnacentral:rRNA from 1 species
CCUACGGGAGGCAGCAGUGGGGAAUUUUGCGCAAUGCUCGUAAGAGUGACGCAGCGACGCCGCGUGAAUGACGAAGGCCUUCGGGUCGUAAAGUUCUUUCGACAGGGAAGAAAAUGCCUAUAAGUAACUGUGUAUGUAUUGACGGUACCUGUAUAAGCAGCCCCGGCUAACUCCGUGCCAGCAGCCGCGGUAAUACGGAGGGGGCGAGCGUUGUUCGGAGGGACUGGGCGUAAAGGGCACGUAGGCGGUGUUGUAAGUCAUUAGUCAAAGACUAGAGCUCAACUUUAGUAAGGCUAGUGAUACUAUAAUACUAGAGUAUCAGAGAGGAUUGCAGAAUUCCUGGUGUAGCGGUGAAAUGCGUAGAUAUCAGGAAGAAUACCGUUAGCGAAGGCGGCAAUCUGGCUGGAAACUGACGCUGAGGUGCGAAAGCGUGGGUAGCAAACAGGAUUAGAUACCCCAGUAGUC